rnacentral:ncRNA from 14 species
CGGUGGUGAAAUUGGUAGACACAAGAGACUUAAAAUCUCUCGACCUCACGGUCGUGCCGGUUCGAUUCCGGCCCG